AUCUACUUUUUUCUUUUCCUUUCUUUUUUUUCAAUUUAGAGUUUUUAAUAAGAAUAACAUUUACUAGUGAUAACUAUUCAACAUAUUCAUACUGAUUAAGAAAAAUUCCCAUGAAAAAUAUGAACGGGAAGACUCUAAUAUGAAAAUGUCUUAUAGUCUUAUAAAAGUCUUACAGUGCAGUUGUGCAGAACUAGAAGUAAACAUCAGAGAUAUACCCACCUCCAAUGUAAUGUAAAUGUACUCAACUACUGAACAAUUAUAUAUUUAAUAUAUGAAUUAAUAAUGAAUUAAUAUAAAAAUAUGGAUAUGUUUGCUACUAAUAAAAAUCAAUGUUAUCUACAUUUUAUUUUAAAGUUUAAGUAAAUGGAUUUCUGAAUACAAACACACAUGAUAUUUUCCCAGAAGUCUGGGACAUGAGAUACUCUUUGAAAACUUGAAUAAAAGUUUAAGUGACUGGACUUCUUAAUAGAAACACACAUUCAUGUUUUUCCAGCUCUUCAGGACAUGAGAUACUUAUUCAAAGGUAUGUCUGAAGGUAGCACCUGGCAUCUCCAAGUCUGUAGUUGUGGGGUUGAGGGUUCGUUUGUUUAAUUAAAUGAUAGGGUUUUUUGUUGUUUGUGUUUGUUUUGUUGUGGUUUGUUUUUUUUUUUUAUUGAAAGAAAAGUGUAAGCUCAAAAAAAUCAGACUAAUCCUUCAUGUCUGGAUAUUGCUACAGGUACUUGAUAUAAAUAUGGAAGGUGAUGAAGAAAUUGUAAAGCCUCUUUCGUCUUAAAAAGGACCAUUGACAACAAUUGUUUGAAGAAUACUUUAAACUCAGCAAAAGUUCAUAUUCUAAAGCAAACUCCCUCAGUGACUGAUUUUGCCUUUUUAGUAUAGCCUUUUUAGUAUAUCAGCACCAAAGUGGAGAAAAGGGUAUAUUUUCAACAGUGGAUUGACAAUAUGAGAGUGUGAAAGCUAGCAUAAAACCUUAUGCAGUGGUAGCCUGAAACUGUAUCGAAGUUUCUCAGUAUCAAAGCUAAUUUUUUUAAAAGUUACCUACAUUUUGAAGGGAUUAUGAAAGAGAUUCAAAAACCACCCAAUUUCUGAGUUUUAUUUGUGUCUGAACUUUUACAACCAAUUUUGUUACUAGAAAGCCUAGGCACAUUUUGCUUGGAUGAGCAUACAGGAAAGGAAACUGUAAUGGAAAAGGAAAGAAAAAAUAUAAACUGUAAUGGAAAUUUUGAAAUGGUAAUAGAGCAAUAUUUUAUUGUUAUGAAUCAGCUAAAUACUUGAGCAAUUGCCUAGGUUUUGUUUCAAUGAUUUAUAGGAGAAACUAUUCACCCAUUAUUGAGCUAAAUUGUGCAAUAUUUUAAUACACCCCAACAGGGGAUGCUUAAGACUACACUUAGAAAAAAACAACUCAAAGACUUACGCCAUGAAAGAUAUAGCUACAAAUUCUUUUCUUUUGUUUUUUGGUUAAUGCUAUCCAUUAACAAAAAUAUUAUAAAUUUUCUGGUCCUUACAUGGGUUUGUACCACCACUAAACAAUACUUUAUCUCCUAAGUAAUCUUUGAGAGAUUUGUGAUCUUUAAUGCACAUUUCCUCUCUAAAAGUGUUUCAAAAGGGAAAGAUGCAUUGUUCAAAGAGAAAUUUUGGAUCCUGCAUCACGGAAAAGGCUUGGAAAGUUGUUGUCUUCUUCUUCUUCUAAAUUGCUAAUUGAUACAUACACCAAAACUUACCACUCUGGACAGUUUCCAGCACAUGGGCACAGUGGUUAAUGUGGUCCAAGAGCACAGAAAAUAAAGGGAGCAGCAUGCAAAAACUUGGAAAAACUUGAGGAUUUUGCUAGUCAUUUAAACAAUAUGACAGUUGGGUUGAGUUAGAAUGCUUAUACUAGGCAGGGAAGUGAAGAUCUCAGCUUCUGUAACAGCAUAUGUGGACAUUGCUCCAUCAAGGAGAGUAAGAGUUCUUUAGUUUAAUAGCAGUCUUGUGCUGUUGAUAUUAUAUUUAGUUAUCAUUUAGGCAAAUAUUGUUGCCAGAACUCUUAAAAAAAUAAGAUGUUGGUUUAUUGUUUUUAAAAAAUAAUAUGAGGCAAGCUAGUUGUAGGGCUUAUUAUCAUCUGCUUUAUAAGAGGGGAGACCUUUUUCCCACUGAGAGUACUUCAAUAUAUCAGUGAAUGAUGUAUAACCUGUUCAUAUAUGCUUUAAUAAAAGACAAAGAUUUUUAAUUAAGGAAGUGGCAACAAAAAUGGAAAAAUAAAUAGUAAUAAUGAAUGAGGAGGAGAUCCAAGCAGCUCUUCUGACAAAUGCUGCUGAUGUAUAUUUUUAGUACUAGAAGAAAUCUCAAUUUGAAAGACCUUUUCCUUUGCAACAGCACAAAAAUUGUGAAAACAGGUGUUUAAAGUAUUUGUCUUGCCUGAAAAUUCCAAAUGUCAUAGAACCUUUAUUUGUCUAGAACAAAAAAAGGUAGUCCUAGCUUUGCACUUUUUUUCCCCUCCGAGGAGUAUGUGUACAGAAAAAUGACGUGUUUUUCACUAAUUGCGGAUGUUACUGAUCAUACCAACAAACACUUCCACGUGGUAAUUUCUUAACUAGUAUUAUAUUCCAAACUAAUUGCAUCAGACUAUUUUUGUUUUGUUUUGUUUUGGUUUAUUCUAAAAUACACUCUCCAUUAAUCAGGACAAUACUGACAAUACUGUCACUGUGAUGGACAAAUCUUUAAGAGCACUGAACCUUCCCAUAGCCAAAUGUGCAGCAUUUGUAAACACAUAACAUAGCUAAUGUGAGAAAACCACAACGGUGUUCUUAAAGGAGUUCGAGAUGUUAGACCAUAUGUUCAUAGACAUGGAAUGUGCCUUGUAAUGCUGGUCAUUUUGUUGCCAGGAAUACUGUUAUAGCCCAAAGAACUGUGACUGACUAGUGGAUACUGAGAUAGACAGAAAUUUUCUAAAUCUCUGAUAUUUACUGGCAGUUAAAAUACCCGGUAUUCUGAACUAUGAUAAAAAAAAAAACUAGUAGAUCACUGAACUGCUUGAGAAGGAAAUUAAUAAUUUUAUGUGUAGCUAAAAAUGCAGAUAACUGUUUAUCAGCUGUUUCUAUUAACACAAACCUGUCAUCUCUGUUCAUACUGCUGUUGUAUAAAAAUCUAUGGCAUAUUUCCAGGUGUCCACACUGAGCUGUGCAUGAACAAGUGAUAAUGUGCAUAAAAGUAACAGAAAAAAACCUGCAACCUGUCCUGUUUCAGUGUUCCCAUUAAGAAUUACCAAUACAAGAUUACCAAAAUAUUCAACAGAGAAUGGAAGUUGUAAGAAGUUUCUGUGAAACAGUCAACUACAGAAGUACCUUCCUCAAAACAAUUUUUCUUUUCUCUCUCUUUUUUUCUUCUUUCACUUUAAGAUUUAAUUCACUUUAGGAUACAUCAUAAAUUUCCUUGAACAUACCACCUUAAAAUACUGUAGCUGUAUGUUCUGAAAAAAAAAAUAAAUCCCAACCAAACCCAAAACAAAACCAACCAAAGACACAAC
rnacentral:lncRNA from 1 species